AUUGAACGCUGGCGGCAGGCCUAACACAUGCAAGUCGAGCGAGCGGCGGACGGGGGAGUAAUGUAUGGGGACUGCCCGAUAGAGGGGGAUAACGAAUGGAAACGGUGAAUAAUAACGCAUCCUAUCGGAUAACCCAUAUGGGAUUAGCUAGUAUGUGGGGUAAAGGCUCACCUAGGCGACGAUCUCUAGCUGGUCUGAGAGGAGGAUCAGCCACACGGGGACGUAGACAUGGCCCAGACUCCUACGGAGGCAGCAGUGUGGAGUAUUGCGCAAUGGGCGCAAGCCUGCUGCAGCCAUGCCGCGUGUAUGAAGAAGGCCUUAGGGUUUGAAAGUACUUUCAGCGGGGAGGCGUUCCCCGCAGAAGAAGCACCGGCUAACUCCGUGCCAGCAGCCGCGGUAAUUC
rnacentral:rRNA from 1 species